rnacentral:rRNA from 1 species
AGAGUUUGAUCCUGGCUCAGGAUGAACGCUGGCGGCGUGCUUAACACAUGCAAGUCGAGCGAAGCGCUCACGCGGAAUUUUUCGGAAGGAAGCGGGAGUGACUUAGCGGCGGACGGGUGAGUAACGCGUGGGUAACCUGCCCCAUACCGGGGGAUAACGGUUAGAAAUGACCGCUAAUACCGCUUAAGCGCGCGAGGCCGCAUGGCCGCGCGCGAAAAACUCCGGUGGUAUGGGAUGGGCCCGCGUCUGAUUAGGUAGUUGGCGGGGUAAGGGCCCACCAAGCCGACGAUCAGUAGCCGACCUGAGAGGGUGGCCGGCCACAUUGGGACUGAGACACGGCCCAAACUCCUACGGGAGGCAGCAGUGGGGAAUAUUGCGCAAUGGGGGAAACCCUGACGCAGCAACGCCGCGUGAGUGAGGAAGUAUCUCGGUAUGUAAAGCUCUAUCAGCGGGGAAGAAAGAGGACGGUACCCGACUAAGAAGCCCCGGCUAACUACGUGCCAGCAGCCGCGGUAAUACGUAGGGGGCGAGCGUUAUCCGGAUUUACUGGGUGUAAAGGGAGCGUAGACGGCGUCGCAAGUCUGAAGUGAAAGCCCGUGGCUCAACCGCGGAACCGCUUUGGAAACUGCGAGGCUGGAGUGCUGGAGAGGUAAGCGGAAUUCCUGGUGUAGCGGUGAAAUGCGUAGAUAUCAGGAGGAACACCGGUGGCGAAGGCGGCUUACUGGACAGUGACUGACGUUGAGGCUCGAAAGCGUGGGGAGCGAACAGGAUUAGAUACCCUGGUAGUCCACGCCGUAAACGAUGAAU